rnacentral:rRNA from 1 species
UACGGGGGGAGCAAGCGUUGUUCGGAUUUACUGGGCGUAAAGGGCGCGUAGGCGGUCGUGACAAGUCACUUGUGAAAUCUCCGGGCUUAACUCGGAACGGUCAAGUGAUACUGUCGGACUAGAGUACAGAAGGGGCAACUGGAAUUCUCGGUGUAGCGGUGAAAUGCGUAGAUAUCGGUAGGAACACCAGUGGCGAAGGCGGUCUCCUGGGGCAUUCUUGACGCUGAGGCGCGAAAGCUGGGGGAGCAAACGGG